AUGAAAGAAAGAGAAGCUGGAGUGCCUACCACAAAGAUGAGCAGAAGCAGGGGAGUUCGCUGGGAUGGAGGCGCUGGUGGCCUGGCCGUGGCCGUGGAGGAGGUGGGGGCGGAGGAGGAGUUGAGCGCUGGCCAGGGUCAGGCGGGGCAGAAGGUGAGCGCUGGCCUGGAGGAUCCCGGCGGAGAAGCAGGGGCGACGAGGGGCCUGGCGGAGGGGCAAAGAGGAGCGCUGGCCUGGAGGAGCCCGACGGAGGGGCGCGGAGGAGCACUGCCUCGUGGAUGGAGGAGGAAGACGGUUUGUUUUCAAACUAGGGGUAUUUCUGUACUUCUGUACGUUUUCACCUGGUUGGGGAGAACUCCCAGCGACAACUAUUUCGGAACGGAGGGAGUAUUAGGAAUUAAUUAG
rnacentral:rRNA from 1 species